GUCCAGACUCCUACGGGAGGCAGCAGUGGGGAAUAUUGCACAAUGGGGGAAACCCUGAUGCAGCGACGCCGCGUGAGUGAAGAAGUAUUUCGGUAUGUAAAGCUCUAUCAGCAGGGAAGAAAAUGACGGUACCUGACUAAGAAGCCCCGGCUAACUACGUGCCAGCAGCCGCGGUAAUACGUAGGGGGCAAGCGUUAUCCGGAUUUACUGGGUGUAAAGGGAGCGUAGACGGCAUGGCAAGUCAGAUGUGAAAGCCCGGGGCUCAACCCCGGGACUGCAUUUGAAACUGUCAGGCUGGAGUGCAGGAGAGGUAAGUGGAAUUCCUAGUGUAGCGGUGAAAUGCGUAGAUAUUAGGAGGAACACCAGUGGCGAAGGCGGCUUACUGGACUGUAACUGACGUUGAGGCUCGAAAGCGUGGGGAGCAAACAGGAUUAGAUACCCGUGUAGG
rnacentral:rRNA from 1 species